CAGUAGCCACGGUAAUACAAAGGGGGCUAGCGUUGUUCGGAAUUACUGGGCGUAAAGCGCACGUAGGCGGAUUUUUAAGUCAGGGGUGAAAUCCCGAGGCUCAACCUCGGAACUGCCUUUGAUACUGGAGAUCUUGAGUUCGGAAGAGGUUGGUGGAACAGCUAGUGUAGAGGUGAAAUUCGUAGAUAUUCGGAAGAACACCAGUGGCGAAGGCGGCUUACUGGCUCAUACUGGACGCUGAGGUGCGAAAGCGUGGGGAGCAAACAGGAUUAGAUACCCGCGUAGUCCCUGUCUCUUAUAC
rnacentral:rRNA from 1 species